GCUGAUUGGCUGCUGCACCUCAUUAGUGAUUUGCUAGUCUACUCCAGCUGCUCUUCUGAUUGGCUGAUCAGCGGCAGACAGGGAGGAGCCCAACAUACCUUAUAACCUCGUGAAGAUAAGCCUUUAGAGUCUGAAGUGAGUGUGUGUGUGUGUUUGUGAUGUAGGGACGCACGGUUAUGAAGUGAGUGUGUGAGUGUGUGUGACGUAGGGCGAGUGUGUGUGUGUGUGUGUGUGAGACGUAGGGCGAGUGUGUGUGUGUGUGUGUGAGACGUAGGGUGAGUGUGUUUGUGUGAGUGCUGAAUUCUGCCUUUCCCUCCCCAAUGCACCAGUCUCUGUGCUAGUGGUCUACUAAAACACACACACACACACACACACACACACACACACACACUGUGCUGAGCGAACUACAGACACACACCCACACACACACACACACACACACACAUUACACACCCUGUGCUGAGCGAACUACAGACACACACACACACACACACAGAGAGACACACACACACACACACACACAGACAGACUGACUGACUACACAACCUUUCAGGCAUGAGGAGCAGAGCUCAGAUAAAGCAGAUCAGCUCCCAGGCAUGACUAACUGAUUGCCAGACAGAUGAGGAGAUCGUUUGAGGUGGUCUGAGAGCACAGGCAGUGGGAUACUUCUGGGUUCAAGUGAUGUCUAUCGUUCCAAAAGCCUAAAUGUGUUUGUUUGUGUGUGUGUGUCUGUGUGCGGAUAAGGUUACAGGAAGCAGGCUUGCUGUAUAAUCUUCUUGCAGACUGUAAACUGGUUGUAAAUGUUUUGGUGUUCUGUGGGAGCGGUUGGCCAGCGUGUGUGUGUGUGUGAGCGUGUGUGUGUGUGUGUGUGUGUGAGAGCGUGUGUGUGUGUGAGAGUGUGAGCGUGUGUGUGUGUUUUGGUGUUCUGUAGGAGCGGUUGGCCAGCGUGUGUGUGUGUGUGUGAGCGCGUGUGUGAACGUGUGUGAGCGUGUGUUUGUGUGAGCGUGUGUGUGUGUGUGUGUGUGUGAGCGUGUGUGUGUGAGAGUGUGUGUGUGUGAGCGUGUGUGUGUGUGUGUGUGUGUGUGAGCGUGUGUGUGUGAGAGUGUGUGUGUGUGAGCGUGUGUGUGUGAGCGUGUGUGUGUGUGUGUGUGUGAGCGCGUGUGUGAACGUGUGUGAGCGUGUGUUUGUGUGAGCGUGUGUGUGUGUGUGUGUGUGAGCCGUUGGCCAGCGCUGGGAAGUGAGACUGUACAGUUCAUGAAUAUUUAUAUAUUUAUGCACUUUAGACCCCACCCUCAUCAUGAAUAUGUAUACAUUUAUGCAGUUUUUAAGACACGCCCCCUCCUCAUGAAUAUUUAUAUAUUUAUGCAUUUUAGACUCCACCUCCUGUUCAUGAAUAGUUGUAUAUGUAUGCACUUUAGACUCCACCCUCCUCAUGAAUAUUUAUAUAUGUAUGCACUUUAGACUCCACCCCUCUUACUCCCGAGGGUGGCACCAUAGUCAUGGAAUGAAACGUUUCCAUGGUGAUAUCUUCAUCCUUCACCUCUGCUUCAUCUUCAGCUGCUGAAAGACAGACAGAGAGAGAGGGAGAGAGAGAGACAGAGAGAGAGAGAGAGAGAGGGAGAGAGAGAGAGAGAGAGAGAGAGAGAGAGAGAGAGAGAGAGAGAGAGAGAGAGAGGGGGAGAGAGAGAGGGGGAGAGAGAGACAGAGAGAGACAGAGAGGGAGAGAGAGAGGGGGA
ensembl:lncRNA